UACAGAGGUGGCAAGCGUUGUUCGGAAUUACUGGGCGUAAAGCGCACGUAGGCGGAUCGAUCAGUCAGGGGUGAAAUCCCAGAGCUCAACUCUGGAACUGCCUUUGAUACUGUCGAUCUAGAGUAUGGAAGAGGUGAGUGGAAUUCCGAGUGUAGAGGUGAAAUUCGUAGAUAUUCGGAGGAACACCAGUGGCGAAGGCGGCUCACUGGUCCAUUACUGACGCUGAGGUGCGAAAAGCGUGGGGAGCAAACAGG
rnacentral:rRNA from 1 species